ACUGAAAAAUCUUAAUCAUUUUUAUUGUUGUUGUUGCUACCCUUGACGAAAUACCUGAAGGUAGGCAGCGUUUCUCUCAACUUUCCAGUGCAGAUUACCAAGUUGUAGACAAUGAGUCAAUGUUAACAUUUCCAAUAAGAAUACAUGUGGCUGAACUCUCCACAAUUACUAAGCCGUGUGAAGUUGUAACCAAGGUUUGCAUCCAAAAGAUUGAGAUUGCUUACGGCUAGACCUAUGAUGGGUGCUCAUGCGAUCGCAAACCUGUAUAUGAAAAUGACAAACUAAAAUGCAAAAGCUGUACGAGUGAUGUGUUGACUAUUGAGCCCAAAUUUAAGCUCCAUUACACGGUGUUUGAUUCAACGGGCAUAUGUUCAA